UGGCGGCGAGUGGCGAACGGGUGAGUAAUACAUCGGAACAUGUCCAGUAGUGGGGGAUAGCCCGGCGAAAGCCGGAUUAAUACCGCAUACGAUCUUUGGAUGAAAGCGGGGGAUCGCAAGACCUCGCGCUAUUGGGGUGGCCGAUGGCGGAUUAGCUAGUUGGUGGGGUAAAGGCUCACCAAGGCGACGAUCCGUAGCUGGUCUGAGAGGACGACCAGCCACACUGGGACUGAGACACGGCCCAGACUCCUACGGGAGGCAGCAGUGGGGAAUUUUGGACAAUGGGCGAAAGCCUGAUCCAGCAAUGCCGCGUGUGUGAAGAAGGCCUUCGGGUUGUAAAGCACUUUUGUCCGGAAAGAAAUCCUGGUGGCUAAUAUCCGCCGGGGAUGACGGUACCGGAAGAAUAAGCACCGGCUAACUACGUGCCAGCAGCCGCGGUAAUACGUAGGGUGCGAGCGUUAAUCGGAAUUACUGGGCGUAAAGCGU
rnacentral:rRNA from 1 species